CNGAUUGCGAAGGCAGCUUGCUGGACUGUAACUGACGCUGAGGCACGAAAGCGUGGGGAUCAAACAGGAUUAGAUACCCUGGUAGUCCACGCCNUAAACGAUGAAUGCUAGCUGUUAGCGAUAUACUGUUAGCGGCACAGAGAAAUCGUUAAGCAUUCCACCUGGGGAGUACGCCGGCAACGGUGAAACUCAAAGGAAUUGACGGGGGCCCGCACAAGCGGAGGAACAUGUGGUUUAAUUCGAUGAUACGCGAGGAACCUUACCUGGGCUUAAAUUGCAGUGGAAUAACGUGGAAACAUGUUAGCCUUCGGGCCGCUGUGAAGGUGCUGCAUGGUUGUCGUCAGCUCGUGCCGUGAGGUGUCGGCUUAAGUGCCAUAACGAGCGCAACCCUCAUCGAUAGUUACUAACAGGUUAAGCUGAGGACUCUAUCGAGACUGCCGACGUAAGUCGUGAGGAAGGUGGGGAUGACGUCAAAUCAGCACGGCCCUUACGUCCAGGGCUACACACGUGUUACAAUGGGGGGUACAAAGGGCAGCUACCUGGCGACAGGAUGCUAAUCUCUAAAACCUCUCUCAGUUCGGAUUGGAGUCUGCAACCCGACUCCAUGAAGCUGGAUUCGCUAGUAAUCGCGCAUCAGCCACGGCGCGGUGAAUACGUUCCCGGGCCUUGUACACACCGCCCGUCAAGCCAUGGGAGCCGGGGGGACCUGAAGUAUGCAACCGUAAGGAGCGUCCUAGGGUAAAACUGGUGACUGGGGCU
rnacentral:rRNA from 1 species